AUUGAACGCUGGCGGCAGGCCUAACACAUGCAAGUCGAGCGAGAGGCGGACGGGUGAGUAAUGUAUGGGGACUGCCCGAUAGAGGGGGAUAACUACUGGAAACGGUGGCUAAUACCGCAUACUAUCGGAUAACCCAUAUGGGUUUAGCUAGUAGGUAAGGUAAUGGCUUACCUAGGCGACGAUCCCUAGCUGGUCUGAGAGGAUGAUCAGCCACACUGGGACGGGGACACGGCACGGACUCCAACGGCGGAAGCAGUGGGGAAUAUUGCACAAUGGGCGCAGGCCUGAGACAGCCGGGCCGCGUGUAUGAGGAAGGCCCUAGGGUUGUAAAGUACUUUCAGUCGGGAGGCGUUACCGACAGAAGAAGCACCGGCUAACUCCGUGCCAGCAGCCGCGGUAAUAC
rnacentral:rRNA from 1 species